AUGUGGACCUUUAUUAUGCAGUCCGUCUCUUUUAUUACUUCCACAACAAGAUCGUGCAAAGCUUAUUUUCUCUGCACUAAUAAGUCAUACAUAUUUAGAGAGCAAUUUUUAUUGCUUGCACCGAUGACAACUUACUUGAAGGAUCUUACUCAAUCCAUAGGUAGGUAUGGUGGGCUCUCAUGGCAAAACUGGUUUUACGGGUAUUUGGAAGCACAAGUAGUAUCUCUACUUGGUGCAAGGAAUUUGUCUAGCAUGAGGGAGAAAGGCAAGCUCAACAUGUUUGGAAGGUUAAUGACAAUAUACUUUAAUUGA
rnacentral:rRNA from 1 species